ensembl:lincRNA
UGAGCAGCUCUGCUGGUCAGAGGCCCCUCCCCUAGUAUUGAUUUCCUGCUUCUGCAGAGCCAGAGAGGGGAUACUGAGAAUCUUGCAAGUUUCCACUUUCCCAGACAUGUGCUGUUUUGUUUACCUCCUGAGUCUCAUAAGCCCCCUCCCUCCUGGAGAGAAGGUUUCAAUGCUGAGGAAACUGCCGGAGAACAGUAGAAAACUACCUUUCAAAAGGAAUGCUGUCCUAAUUGAAAUGGGAAAAACUACCAGGUGUAAUCAGGCAUUUUUCUUUGAGACUCAGUGGAUUUUCCUCAAGCUGUAUAACCAUAUGAAGAAGGACUAUUACAUUAAUCCUACAAUGGCCACUUCAAAUCCUGCAAAGUCAGGAAGUUGAAAUAUAUAAAAUAAAGUCACUGGACAAUGGCCUAGAAAAUUGAAAAUAAGUCUCUGAGGUUCCUGCUUCCAUGACAAGAAUACAAAUUCCAAGAUUCCAGUGUCUCUUCAGAGGAAUGUCCCACCUCUUCAGCAACAAGAAAGAACAGAUCAUUUCAUAAAACAACACUUUCAUGUUCAGUUUCCACUGUAGGUUUCCAGCUGACGGGAGCAUCCAUGAGUUAUACAAUGGUCUGCAUUUUCUAUGUGGUGAUUGUGAGGGUGGAACUGGUCACAGCCCUCUCUCAUCAUAGGAUUCUCUUUCCUUUCUUUAUCACCACCAACUGUGUCUGUUGCUCUGGAUUCCAUCAGCCUGUAAAAUCCCUAGUAUCUCUGCCUUAUGAUCCACAUCCUGGAAUUUUGCCAUCUUUUGCCUCCCAACCUUCGUGGAAGAAUGCUUUUUUCUUCAAAGGGUGUGGAAUGACUUAGUGCUAUCUCUUUUGGUGUUUUCUUCACACUCAUUUUCAUUUUGAUAAAAUUUUAAAUUAUUAAGUGCAGUGCUUCGGUAGACAGACACAAAGAUAAGACAAGACUAUAUAAAACCCAGCCUAGCCAUUUGAAAUAAACCAGGUCCAGACAUUACACUACUGCAAACCAUUUUUACAGCUGCAAAGGUGAGUUUAUUAUGCCCUAGGCAAACCAGAAAUCUAGCUUUGCACAAGAUAAUUUAUUGCUCUAACAAACUAUUCUCAUAUUCAUCUCAUGUUUGAAAAUCACAAUUUGUUUUUCAAGAAAUUAUUUUUUUAGUUCAAAUUAGAAACAAGCCUGCUUCACCUGUCACUCUCUGCCCCCUCUCCCUCCCCUCCUCCCCCACCCUCCAUCAAAUACCCACCCCAUACCCCCUCUGCUCCCCAGGGAGGGUAAGCAGAGGUAUGGAGGAUCCCCAAUGUCUAUAAUAUCAUCCUGGGCAAGGCCUAGGCCCUUCUCCAAGUGUUCAGGCUGAGAGAGCAUCCCUCCAUGUGGGAUGGGUUCCCAAAGUCCUUUCUUACUCCAGGAAUAAAAUACUGAUGUACUACUAGAGGGCCCAUAGUGUACUGAGGCCUCCUCAUUGAUAUCCACUUUCAGGGGUCUGGAUCAGUCCCAUGAUGGCCUUCUAUACAUCAGUCGGGUGUCCAUGCACUCCCCCUUGUUGAGGUCAGUUGUUUCUGUGGGUUUCACCAGCCUGGUCUUGAUCUCUUUGCUCAUCACUCCUCCCUCUCUGCAACUAGGUUCCAGAAUUCAGUUCAGUGUUUAGCUGUGGGUGUCUGCCUCUGCUUCCAUCAGCCACUGGAUGAAGGCUCUAGGAUGGCAUAUAAGGUUGUCAUCAAUCUCAUUAUAGGGGAAGGGCAUUCAUGGUAGCCUCUCCAAUAGUGCUUAGUUUGCCUGUUGGUGUCAUCCUUGUUGAUCUCUGGAAAUCUCCCUAGUGCCAGAUCUAUCCUCGAAUCUAUAUUGGCUCCCUCUAUUAUAGUAUUUCUCAUCUCUAUAGUAUUGCUGUCCUCUAUUCUUCCCCCCCCCCACUGAACUUUCCUGUUACCCCAUUUCCUCCUCUCCCCUCCUCUUCUCCCCCUCUUUUUCUCCCAGCUCCCUCUAUUCAGACAAAUACCACACCCCCAGAACAUCAUGAUCUGUAUUUAAAGAAAACAUUAAAUAAAGCAAGGCAGUGGUUCUGAGUCUGUCACACAUACAUUAGUUCAGGGGUAUCUUAAUAAGUAAGAAAUAAGCCCACAGUAGAGCAAGUUUCUUUAGCUUAAGAUUGGGUGGCAGCCUGUACAUGACACUCAGGAGAGAAAUAUUUCAGACCAUCAUGCAUAUUCAAGCAUUCGCUUAAAUUCUGUGCUAAAGCUGCAUGUCCUGACAUUUUCUCAAAAGCAAGCCUGUCCAUGCAAUGGAAAUUCACUUCUUUGCAACAGGGUUGUUCAGAAUAACUUCCAUAUGACAUAGUCACACAUUUGAUGAAGUUCAACAUCAAAUUGCUAUUAAAAUAAAUAUAACUACUAAAAUCAAUGGAGCACAUCUAUUAGCAAAAAUUGCCUUUUACCUUUUCUGGGUCAAUUCUGUAAACAUUUGGAUAAAAUACAGUAUGAAAGAAUACAGUGUUGUAUCCUUGGUAUUUUAAAUUCCGAUUUAUGCUCUGAUGGCCGUAGGUGGUUCAGGUUUUUAUUCACUUGAACAGUUUUAACUGUGAUUGAAAAUGUAUCAAGAGAAAAGCAGUUUUGUUCUCUUUUUCAGUGUCUGAGCUGAGGUGUGGCAUGAUAAAAGCAGAUGUCCUGUGGAUCACUUAACUAUCUCUAAGUUUCAUUCUGGCUUUUACCCUAAAAGAAAAAGAUCUUCAAAUACAUGGUGCCACUACUAUUUUUUAUGGCCAAGUCAUCAGUGACACUUGUUUAUAUGUAAUGGA